UUCUGGCCUGGUUGUUUGCCUGGGGUACCGAUAGUGUACAAGCUAAAGGACAUGAGUUGGGAGUAGAGAUGUUCAUUUGUAAAUUUGUCUCAUCGGGCGACGUUGAAACACCUGUCGCCGAGAUAUGGAUGUAGAUGCUCAGAAGGUGAGCAAUAUGUGGAGAGACUCGCUAACAACUGAGACGCAAUUAGGGAGCUGGUCGGCGGACUUUGUCCCAGAGGGUACCACAGGCGAAAAAAAAAGAUUGGAUGAAAUUUGUCUCAUACGUCAAAACUAGUUGGCCUUGUGUGCGUGUGUGCGUGUGUGUGCUAUAUUAGUAAGUGGAUCUUAUUAGUGUUGGUACGCCUUUACUCAGAGAGGGAUUAAAUGCCUUAAGCUUCACCGACAAGAAGAAGAGGAAGUUAUACAUUCCUAAACAAUGUACAUAGUUAUUAGCAUUAUUAAUUGAGUUAUGGUGGUUUACAGACACAUAAGGGAAUAUCCGCAAAUCCAAUCACAUCGUCUGUCUCAAUGAGAUGUCUUCGGUUACAUAGCUGUAAGCAAGAUGCUUUCGAUGAAAAAAGUCUAAAAAUUGCAUGUGCACACUUGAUGCGAAAUACGUCCAAAACUUCUUGUUAUAAUAUGGUCUUGGUCAUGGAAACACCGACAAAAUAAACAGCGACAGAAAGCCUGCAAACGUGGAGGACGACAAAAUAGAAAGUAGUUUGGAAUUCAGUUGACAGUGCCCCGGCCAGGAAUUGAAUCGGGGACUUAUGGAAUGGUAGAGCAGUGUGUUACCACUAGACCACCGCACCACCAUAUCCACUAAGCAACGAAGAGCUACUUACGGACACGUGUAUGCAUAUUUGUUCGUCGUUGGGCGAGCACAAGAUUGAAGUUUAUGUCGUAACCAGGAAGAUAAAUGAGCUGAAAACGCUACAACGUCCGUCAAUCACAUGUUAACACUCCAAGACUGGCCUGGUAUUCGUACACAAUCAUGAAUGAGUGCCAUUGAACUAAUCUGAACUUCGCGAUAAAUCGGUCGAUGAGGAACACGAAUUUAUGUUAAAGCGUUUAAAAGCUCCAUCAAAUAUUCAAGUCUUCCUUUAGGUUCCUUCUUGGACAAAGGACGUCGAACAGCUUCCUCGUGGCGUCUCGGUUGUGAGCGAGUCUCUCCACGUCUAGCUCAUCUAAACGUCUGCAUCCGUGUGUCGGCGAGAAGUGUUCCAAUGUCGCCAUAUGAUACAGAUCUACUGAUGAACAUCUCAACGUGGUUGGUUAUGAAGGCAUUUGAUCCAGCUAAGCUGGUUCCUGUCAAAUCUCUGCGCAGAGGUUGAUAUCCUUUUGAUUAUACAUUAUCGGUACCACAGGCAGACGACCAGGCCAGAAGUUACCCCGUGUGGGUGUGGGAACGUUGGCAAUUGAACGCCCUUUUCAUAACAGAAGUAUAAUUAUGUGUAUCUUACGGUCCACAUUUUCAGUAGAGCUGAUAAUUGAUUUUGACUUGAUUGAUAAUGAAUUUAAGCAUGCAUGUUCGUCGUAGGGCGAGACAAACAAUUAAGUUUAUAUCGUAGCCAGGAAGUUAAAUAAGUUAAAAAGAAACGACGCGCGACAAUCUAUUGGUGAACUUUAUACUUUAAAGGGACUGUCAACCACGAAUGACAAAAAAAGAAAAGUUCUAA